UACGUAGGGUCCGAGCGUUGUCCGGAAUUACUGGGCGUAAAGAGCUCGUAGGUGGUUUGUCACGUUGUUCGUGAAAACUCACAGCUUAACUGUGGGCGUGCGGGCGAUACGGGCAGACUAGAGUACUGCAGGGGAGACUGGAAUUCCUGGUGUAGCGGUGGAAUGCGCAGAUAUCAGGAGGAACACCGGUGGCGAAGGCGGGUCUCUGGGCAGUAACUGACGCUGAGGAGCGAAAGCGUGGGGAGCAAACAGG
rnacentral:rRNA from 1 species